ensembl:lncRNA
CUUAAAGAGUUGGGUUACAAAGUGUACUGCAGACAACGAAGAAAGCUACCACUUCUGCAUUUUGGCUGCCUUUUGUUGAAAACUCUGGGAGUAUCUCGAGACAUCAUCAUCCUUUGUGUGGACAGUGCUGUUCUCAAGGUAGCUGUUGCAAGUGUGAGGAUUUUCUAGCAGACCCUGGAAACAUAUGUAUGAAGGAAGCAGAAGCUGCCCAUAUGCUACGGUGUCAACUAUGCAGAUGGGCCCAGAUCAGCCAACAUGACACACAUCAAGUUGAACAGAAACGCCCACAGGAGCCUGGAAGAAGAUGCCGUCAGGAAUUGACAAGAAGCAUUUCGUAUGUUUCCAAUCAUGACUUUCCUACUUCUCCCUCCAUCUCAAAACUUAGACCUUAAGUUUUAGACUCAUCGGAAAGGGAGCUAAAAAAA